rnacentral:rRNA from 1 species
AGGACGAACGCUGGCGGCGUGCUUAACACAUGCAAGUCGAGCGGUAAGGCCUUUCGGGGUACACGAGCGGCGAACGGGUGAGUAACACGUGGGUGAUCUGCCCUGCACUUCGGGAUAAGCCUGGGAAACUGGGUCUAAUACCGGAUAUGACCUCCUAUCGCAUGGUGGGUGGUGGAAAGAUUUAUCGGUGCAGGAUGGGCCCGCGGCCUAUCAGCUUGUUGGUGGGGUAAUGGCCUACCAAGGCGACGACGGGUAGCCGACCUGAGAGGGUGACCGGCCACACUGGGACUGAGACACGGCCCAGACUCCUACGGGAGGCAGCAGUGGGGAAUAUGCACAAUGGGCGAAAGCCUGAUGCAGCGACGCCGCGUGAGGAUGACGGCCUUGGGUGUAAACCUCUUUCAGCAGGACGAAGCGCAAGUGACGGUACCUGCAGAAGAAGCACCGGCUAACACGUGCCAGCAGCCG